UGUCUACUAGCCGUCGGGGUCCUUAGUGACUUUGGUGGCGCAGCUAACGCGAUAAGUAGACCGCCUGGGGAGUACGGCCGCAAGGUUAAAACUCAAAUGAAUUGACGGGGGCCCGCACAAGCGGUGGAGCAUGUGGUUUAAUUCGAUGCAACGCGAAGAACCUUACCAGCCCUUGACAUCCUCGGAAGUUUCCAGAGAUGGAUUCGUGCCUUCGGGAGCCGAGUGACAGGUGCUGCAUGGCUGUCGUCAG
rnacentral:rRNA from 1 species